rnacentral:lncRNA from 1 species
UGAUGAAUAGUUUGAUUUUAAUAUAUUUAUGCGCGGGGAAAAUUGGGUGUUACAUAGUUGGUCACAGAGCAGGUCGGUCCAUUCGACCAGGUUUUGUAAUGUUGUUGAAUCCCUAGUAUGCGAAAGGUAUGUGUACAUUGUUUCUUCUAAUGUUUAUUUGAUGGUGUGCAGAAUGGUGAGAAUAAACGAUUGUGCCAUUGUUGAAGGUUUGGAAUCGCUAGCUCAGGCGAUGGCUCAGAAUGCACAGAACAACCAAAAUAAGGGAGCAUGAGGAGUUCCUGAUGAUUUUUGCACUUUGGGAAAAUUUUAGAGGAACAACC